rnacentral:rRNA from 1 species
CCUACGUGACGCAGCAGUGGGGAAUAUUGCACAAUGGGGGAAACCCUGAUGCAGCGACGCCGCGUGAGUGAAGAAGUAAUUCGUUAUGUAAAGCUCUAUCAGCAGGGAAGAAAAUGACGGUACCUGAGUAAGAAGCCCCGGCUAACUACGUGCCAGCAGCCGCGGUAAUACGUAGGGGGCAAGCGUUAUCCGGAUUUACUGGGUGUAAAGGGAGCGUAGACGGCAGUGCAAGUCUGGAGUGAAAGGCGGGGGCUCAACCCCCGGACUGCUCUGGAAACUGUACGGCUGGAGUGCAGGAGAGGUAAGUGGAAGUCCUAGUGUAGCGGUGAAAUGCGUAGAUAUUAGGAGGAACACCAGUGGCGAAGGCGGCUUACUGGACUGUAACUGACGUUGAGGCUCGAAAGCGUGGGGAGCAAACAGGAUUAGAUACCCGAGUAGUC